AUACUUGGUCAGGGAGAGAUACAUGACCAUAUAGGUAGUUUUCCCAGGCCAGGGCAUGUCCAUUGCCUGGGUUUGCUGGAUCCUGACUUCCCAGCAUGUGGGGAGAACUGACAUUCAUUGCAGGAAAUGGGGCUAUGUUCACAUUUUCCCCUA
ensembl:snRNA U1 U1 spliceosomal RNA